GUCUAUGGCCAUACUACCCUAAACACACUUCAUCUCAUCAGCUCUUGGAAGCUAAGCAAGUUCGGGGCCUGUUUCAUACUCGGAUGGGAAAAUAUACAGGUCCAGGAACACAGGAGGUAGAAA
rnacentral:rRNA from 1 species